UUUUCAGCUAUGCGGAAAAACAACUACUUCUUGAAUAAUAUGUCUCCGUCCACACAUGUGUUUGCAAUGAGGAAUAUCAUCCAUCACCGGAAUACCGCAACAAAUUCAAAACUCUUACAACAGUUGUUACAUCGUGGUGAGAGACCCCAAGAUAUCUGCAACAUUUCACUGUCUAACCUUGGCCAAGCUGUCAUAGGUUCUGAAUCUUUGGCUAGUACUGACUCUGCCAGGACACUAAGCCCAAAAUCUACAAGUCUACGGUCUACACAAAUUAAAGAACAGAGACUUCUGGCUUUUAGUGACAUGGGUAUGCUUUUAAGAUACUUUGCAUUUAAGUGCUUUGACAUGACAAUUCUAACUGCUGUCAUACAACUCUAAUUUAGACUUUGACAUGUGUGGACCACGUUGUGAAGAGCAAACAAAACUGGAAAAUGUAUCAGCAUCCUCUGCAUCAUGGGAGAUGCAGUAUCACCUUGGCCAACAAUUGCUGCUUGAUUAUGUCUUGGACAUUGAAAGACCUCAACAAGAGUUGAUUGUUAGAACUGCAAGAGCGUGUCUGAGCCGGGCUGACUUUUUAACCUUGGGCCUAGACAGAGAAAUUGAAUCAACCGUAAGUAACUAUUUACUGUACUC